AACAACAAUUUGAUAUUUUUUUCUAAAAAAAAAAAAAGAAAAGAAGAAGGCUAAAGUCGCAACCAAAUUCCCAAUUUGGGAAACCUAAAGUCUAGAGAGAGAGAGAGGAGUAUAUAAGAUGGCAACUUUGGCGAGAAGCAUUUGCGACUAGCAAGAACCCGCGACAUCUACAUCGGCACAAAUCACAAGUAAGUUCUGUUUCUUUUUCUUCCUUCGAGUCUCAUGUGGUGGUUGACUUGCUGUAUACUUUUUCUUUCUUUUUUUCGUUUAUCUUCACCAACGUGUAUCAGAUUGUGUGGUUGUUUUUUAGCCUUUUUUUACCAGUUCCUUUCUAAUUUCCAUGCAUGCAUUUUGUUUAAUGUAUAGUAUCGUGUGGUUGUUGUUUACUGUUUGUUUUUUUUAAUUCCAUCUGCAAGUAUCAGUUUGUGUGGUUUUUUGUUUUUGGCCCUUUUUUUGGCCAAUUCUUUUUCUAAUUUCUAUGCAUGUAUUUUGUUUGUGAUGCAUGUAUUAUGCUUUGGAUAGAGAUAAUAUAUUAAGUAGAAGGGAAUUGUUAAAUCCACAACACUUUUUUGUUAUUUCCACAACAAAAGUGUCGUUGUAGAUGUAUAGCGACGAUGAAAACUGUAGCUAUAGGAUCUAUAACGACACUUUUGUUGUGGAAAUAACAUUUUUUGUUGUGAAUUUAACAGUUUCCUAAGCAGAAAUGUAUAAUAAUUAAUAUUGUAUAUUUGUACAUUUAAUGACUUGCUUUAGUAGUUUUUUUUCUUUUCUUUUUUUAAUAUCAAACAAUGGUCAACUGUUCUAUCUGGGUUUUGACCAAACCAGUUCAACCGGUUGGGCCGAGUCGGGUUUCAAAACAUUGGCUAGAAGUGCCUAAAGAUCUCCUGUUAGAUACUUCAUUGAAUUUAAACAAAUGUUAUUUCUAUGUUAGUAAUUGAUCUCGUCGAUUAUGUGAAAACAAAUGUUUACGUGGGUCUAGUAACAAUUUGUGAUAUUGUGACACAACAAUCUCAUAUUUUUCCUAAAAAUUGAAGCAUUUUUAGAACUUCAUUGUUCGAAUUGAACUUUGGAAGGGUAGUCUUUUUGCACCAUUAGCAUAGUCGUUGAAUAUAUGCAAUGUAAGCAAUAUUUUUAGAUUCGGACAGAUCAUCAAACUGGAAAAGUCACUCGAUGGAUGGGUCACUAUGUCAACCGGUGGUUAAACAAUAAUUAUUAUUAAUAAUUAAAUAUAUUAAUAAUUAUUAUAAAUUGUAUAUAUGAUAUAUAUCACUUCUGUUUUAAAACAUAAGAGUACUAGAUCUCUUCCUCAAAUUGCAUUUUUAAAUUACAAGCACAAUGGUUGAGAUGGGAUAAAUCUAGCAAAGUUCUUUGGUUGUGGAAUUUGAAGUUCCGAUGGGCUUCUUGGCUUUUGAUAAUUUUUUAUAUUUUUUUUUGUGAUGCUUUCUACUGAUGGUUGAGAACACCUGCCGAUUCUACGGUUCCGACAAUUUAACUCUAAGUUUAUUGGUUCGUAACAGUUUUUGUGAUUUCCGGUUUAACGAACCCAAUUGGAUCAUUUUCUUGAUUGGUUCACGGUUCAACCGGUUGAUCCAGUCUUCAUCUAGUUUCUGAAUGUAUUUAACUGAAUAACAAAAUCCGCUUUCUUUUAUUGAAUUGAAAUCCCCUGAAAGAUGGAUUCACUCCGCAUAAGCUGUUUUUUUAUUGUCAAAUGGUCAAUAACACAUGUUAUUUUUACAAAUGCUGAUGGUUUUGUUGCAUGCAACGGGACUUGCUUCCGAUAAAUGUGGGUGGUAAGAUAAUACGUUUGCUAACAUUUAUAGCCCGUCUUCCCUUUGUUAACACUAACAAAAAUAUUGUUAGAAGCCCAAAAAAGUCUUUCCCACCUUUAAUGAGUGAAUGGCCCUUCCCUUCUCUUCCCUUCCCUUCCCCAUCACGAUGUUGAAUUAUUCUGCCCAUCACGAUGUUGAAUUAUUCUGUAUGCAUAUAUAAUACUAAUACUCUCUCAUAGAGACUGUGUUUCUUGACAGGAGGAUUGGUGUGGUGAGAAAAUGUUAGGACGAAAAUCCCUGUAUAAAAUGCAUUGGUUGGAAUAUCAGUUUGUCUGUUGGCAACCGAAGCUGCUUCACAUGAAUGUAAUAUGUUUCCAACAAACGAUCUCGCGCUUGUUUGUCAAUGAACUCAUAAUUCAGUUGUAUCUUCAUGAGAACCAAAUAUGUAAAGAUGUGCAUACAUUACAUAGCUCUUUUUCCCUUCAGCAGGUAAUAUAGUUAGCCCAUCCUAUGGAAGGAAGGAUUGUAUUUUCGAUGUUGGGAUUGCAGCAUAAUCAAGUGCCACCUGUUGGAAUGAGUGUAUAUGGGUAAGUAAAUAAACAUAAGGUUUAAUUACCUCCAAUUGUUUCAAAUUCUGCAGACCAAACUCGCAUUUAAUUAC
rnacentral:lncRNA from 1 species